rnacentral:lncRNA from 1 species
UAUGUAAUUGUGGUGGCUGCUAGGGGUUAGGGAUCAGAUAUGGUAAUGUUGGGAGGCUAAGGGUUGGGUUUACAGAUAUGGUAAUGUGUGGAGGCUAGGGGUUAGUGUAUACAUGAUAGUGACGUGCUAAGUGUGGAGGCUAGGGGUUAGGGCACAGAUAUGGAAUGUGUAGGGCUAGGGGUUAGGCCACAGUAUGGUAAUGUGUGGAGGCUGGGGUUAGGGCCACAGAUAUGGUCAUGUGUGGAGGCUAGGGGUUAGGGUACAGAUAUGGUAAUGUGUGGAGGCUAGGGGUUAGGGUACAGAUAUGGUAAUGUGUGGAGGCUAGGGGUUAGGCCACAGAUAUGGCAAGUCCCAGAGAUGGGGUAUUGUUAUGUU